UAGGGAUCACUGGACUCAAGAGGCGCUGAGAAGCAUUUUCUCCUCCCGUCUUUUGGAGGUGUUUGUGAAGAUCUGAUAUUAACUCCUCUUCAGGUGUUUGGUAGAAUUCAGCAGUGAAGCUGUCUGCGGGGCAGAUGCCUGUGAAAGGCGCCCUGGUGUGUUCGAGGCACAAUGAUGACGAGCCUCCUACUCGCCUGGCCUCCACCGCCCACCCAGCACCCCUGGGGACUGUCCCCAUCCCCCCAGGGACUCCAGAGGGAAUGUGUUUUGUGCCGUGUGGAAAACAAGCCAUGCUCACUGCACACCACGACAGGCCCUUCAAGCUGUCAGAGUCCCUGCAUGUGGAGUGAAAAGGGGGAAAAAAGACAAUUUACAAUUGCAAAUUGGAACCCCUCUCUCGGAGUGGAGUGAUAAUCCAGCUAGGGAGACAGAUGGUGAGGAAGUGCUCCAGGAACAUG
rnacentral:lncRNA from 1 species